CCUACGGGGGGCAGCAGUGAGGAAUAUUGGUCAAUGGACGAGAGUCUGAACCAGCCAAGUAGCGUGAAGGAUGACUGCCCUAUGGGUUGUAAACUUCUUUUAUAUGGGAAUAAAAUGUUCCACGUGUGGGAUUUUGUAUGUACCAUAUGAAUAAGGAUCGGCUAACUCCGUGCCAGCAGCCGCGGUAAUACGGAGGAUCCGAGCGUUAUCCGGAUUUAUUGGGUUUAAAGGGAGCGUAGGUGGAUUGUUAAGUCAGUUGUGAAAGUUUGCGGCUCAACCGUAAAAUUGCAGUUGAAACUGGCAGUCUUGAGUACAGUAGAGGUGGGCGGAAUUCGUGGUGUAGCGGUGAAAUGCUUAGAUAUCACGAAGAACUCCGAUUGCGAAGGCAGUUCACUGGACUGCAACUGACACAGAGGCUCGAAAGUGUGGGUAUCAAACAGGAUUAGAUACCCCUGUAGUC
rnacentral:rRNA from 1 species